UACGAAGGGGGCUAGCGUUGUUCGGAAUCACUGGGCGUAAAGCGCACGUAGGCGGAUUGCUAAGUCAGGGGUGAAAUCCUGGAGCUCAACUCCAGAACUGCCUUUGAUACUGGCGACCUUGAGUCCGGGAGAGGUGAGUGGAACUGCGAGUGUAGAGGUGAAAUUCGUAGAUAUCGGGAGGAACACCAGAGGCGAAGGCGGCCACCUGGACAGACACUGACGCUGAGACGCGAAAGCGUGGGGAGCAAACAGG
rnacentral:rRNA from 1 species